rnacentral:misc_RNA from 1 species
CCUAGACGAUACGUUGAGUGACGUGUCCACACAGAUUGUCUGAUAACUGUCACGAGCAAGAAAAACCUUCUAUAGGCUUGUAGCUCAGGUGGUUAGAGCGCACCCCUGAUAAGGGUGAGGUCGGUGGUUCAAGUCCACUCAGGCCUACCAGUUCCGCUUAUCCCGAUGAAUGAGACCGCAGCGUGUUGCCGCCAGGCAAGCGUGUCAGGCGGUGUCCGGCAUGCGGCGAAAAGGGAGACUGGCUGUCGUCCUGUUUACUGACUGUGAUGAACGAGGCAUUACCUGUGCACGCAGGUAGGCGGACUCAGCGCGGGUGACCGACGGCAUAUGCAAGGUGAACGACUUGGGGCUAUAGCUCAGCUGGGAGAGCGCCUGCUUUGCACGCAGGAGGUCAGCGGUUCGAUCCCGCUUAGCUCCACCAUUCCGUCAUGGAAUGUUUUUGUCAUCCUGCGGGACGAGAGGUUUUUCUGUCGUUGACUUAUUUCAGAGCGCGUUUAUCGAGCGCGCUGCGAAAUACCGCUCUUUAACAAUCCGGAACAAGCUGAAAAUUUGAAACACAUGCUGAAGUGCAAACUCAGUAUGCGAGUCUCUCAAACGAAGUAAGCAAACCUGAGAUAACGCGUAAGCGUUAUCACUGUAGCGCGACAGGCCCUGUCGUCUCCGUGGCGUCUUUACAGACGACGCCGGGUCUCGCCAGUAUGGCGACACUCGAGCGAGACGGCGCGAACGGCUGAAAGCCCAGGCGCACGGCACGCAGGCACCGCAAUGGACUUGAUGUCCAUGAGGAUGCCGAGUACCGCGCAACGCCGGAUUUCGGUCGUGCAGCCCGUCGGAUAAGGUGCAAACAGCUCAGAGUUGUGA